AUGGUCGUGUAUCAAUAUUUUUUUACAGAACCAGUUCCAUUACCAUACAGCUAGCUACCUGUUAAUAUCUGUUAAUAAAGGACCAUGCUUUCCUAUAAGUCUAUCUUGACAGGUUUAUUCUCAAGCUGUAAAUAAUACCUGAUUAAUCGGGUUCGUUCUGAUUUACAGAGAUUAGGCAAGACCUGCAAUUCAACUGAUUACUUGCACUUAAGUUUGUCAGUCCAUUUAAUAAUUAUAUGAAGGCUUGUUGAGGACAUUGUAGCUGUACUGUACAAUAUUCUUGUGAAUGUACUGCCUCUAGAGAGGAGGGAUGAUGCUGAAAGCACUUUGGGGUGGCACUGACCAUAUAGAUAUGUUAAAUACUGGCUGCAGUAUUAUCGCCCCCCCCAUUGUGGUGUUGGUACUAUCAGUACAGAUCUUUAAUUUAUCUGGUUAAUUUCUUUGGGGCCAUGGCUGUAUCCAUCUUACUAAGACUCCCAUCAGAAGUGAUUUUGUCUUUUUCUUUCCCUGUAGUCUGCUCUCGGCUUUCCUCUUCAGUUUUGACUGAGACUAUAUACGCUUUUGGUUUUUUAAUUUUCUUGAAUGACCACGGUAAUAUGCCAACACUAUCAUUCUUCAUAAUCAAUUUCAGAUUUUCUGACAGUGGCGUACCUUUAUUUGUCUUUGUGUGAAAUGCUAGUGCCAGUUAAAUUCACUUUACGUAAACAGACUUGAUUUAGAGAACCUCAGUGUUUUUCUGUUGAAUUCUAACAAUUCGGGACUGUGGAGCUACAGUUGGUCUCCAGUUUCUAACAGUCUACAACAUGUAGGGGUUUUCCGUUUUGCCCUGAUCAGCCUUUCAGCUCUGUCAACAUUCUUCAAUCUGUCUGAAGUUCUCUCUACAGAACUCUUCUAAAGCCUUAUCAGUACUACUAGAGCUCUUUAUUUUCUUAACCUUCAGCAGCUUUGGUGCAAUGACAAAUCAGUGGGUGUCCAGUACAUUGCCUUCUGUCGGACAUCUACACAACUAACCAGGGCAGCUUGCAUGCUGGUUUGGCUGCAGAUCUAGGCCUGGAUGUAAACGGAGGUUCAGGGUUCUCUUAGAUGUGCGUUGUCUGGUGGUUAUCGUCUCUGUGUACUUCUCCAUAGCGACAGUUGGGGCAGUGUUGUUCUACAUGAGACCCAUGAAGCCCUUAUUUCAGGUCUUACAGGGAGACGGUGAAUGUUACCACAGGCCACUCCCUGAGAGGGUUCGAAACGCCACAACGCAUACACACAUGGACCUACUCCAAAACCCACCCUAGGAGUGCAGGUGGAAUAAAGGGCCAAGGAGCUGGGCUUAAUUUCUAUGUCGAAUGCCAGUAUGGCUACUGGAACAUAGCUAUAUUAAAACCAACCUACCAACACAUUUCUCUGUUUUGUGCCAUCCUUAUGAUAAUUUGCUAAAUGAGCUACUGCUGUUAUUGUCACUUACUUACUCUAAUCAAACUAAUGCAUUUUACCAAAUAUGACUUUUGGACUAUUAUUUACAUGGUUAAGAAAUGUUUGUUUGUAUUUGUAUGUCAAAAUCUCAGGGCUGAGUCAAUCAUCCAAUGAUUCUAUUAGUUUUUUUGUUUUUGGCAUAUGGUGUUAUUUAUCACACAUGGACUGGAGAAACUCAAAGUAGUAUAACCUUUUUUAUAAUACAGUCUACUUGUUGAUCUUGUCAUGGUCACUUUGCUGGUG
ensembl:lncRNA